rnacentral:rRNA from 1 species
UACGUAGGGUGCAAGCGUUAAUCGGAAUUACUGGGCGUAAAGCGUGCGCAGGCGGUUUUGUAAGUCUGUCGUGAAAUCCCCGGGCUCAACCUGGGAAUUGCGAUGGAGACUGCAAGGCUAGAAUCUGGCAGAGGGGGGUAGAAUUCCACGUGUAGCAGUGAAAUGCGUAGAGAUGUGGAGGAACACCGAUUGCGAAGGCAGCCCCCUGGGUCAAGAUUGACGCUCAUGCACGAAAUCUUGGGGAGCAAACAGC